AUACGAAAGGUGCAAGCGUUGUUCGGAUUUACUGGGCGUAAAGAGAGUGUAGGUUGUUUAUUAAGUCGGAUGUGAAAUCCCGGGGCUCAGCCUCGGAACUGCAUUCGAUACUGAUAGGCUAGAGUUUGGGAGGGGUAAGCGGAAUUCCGUGUGUAGCAGUGAAAUGCGUAGAUAUACGGAGGAACACCUGAGGCGAAGGCGGCUUACUGGACCAAUACUGACACUGAGACUCGAAAGCGUGGGUAGCAAACAGGAUUAGAAACCCCAGUAGUCC
rnacentral:rRNA from 1 species